rnacentral:rRNA from 1 species
GUCAGGUCAAGGUGCAGUUUAUGUUUAAGUAGAGAUGGGUUACAAUAAAUUUAUUUAUUAUGGAUAUGAAAUUGAAAUAUUUCAUUGAAAGUGGAUUUGAUAGUAAAAUUAUUUAUAUAAUUAAUUUGAUUAUAGCUCUAAGAUAUGCACAUAUCGCCCGUCGCUCUUAUUAUUAAGA